GUGCUGGCUUCGGCAGCACGUAUACUAAGAUUGGAAAGAUACAGGGAAGGUUAGCACAGCCCCUACUCAAGGACGCAUGCAAAUUCAUGAAGCGUUCCACAUCUUU
rnacentral:snRNA from 1 species